GACGAACCGUGCGAACGUUGUUCGGAUUCACUGGGCUUAAAGGGCGCGUAGGCGGACUCGCCAGUCUGUGGUGAAAGCCCCCAGCUUAACUGGGGAAGUGCCGUGGAUACUGCGAGUCUGGAGGAGGGUAGGGGCAUCUGGAACGCUGGGUGGAGCGGUGAAAUGCGUUGAUAUCCAGCGGAACUCCGGUGGCGAAGGCGAGGUGCUGGACCCUUUCUGACGCUGAGGUGCGAAAGCGUGGGGAGCAAACAGG
rnacentral:rRNA from 1 species